rnacentral:rRNA from 1 species
CGGUUGAUCCUGCCGGACCCCACUGCUAUCGGGAUAGGACUAAGACAUGCUAGUCAAGCGCUCGCCAACAAAUUGUGAGUGCGGCGUACAGCUCAGUAGCACGUGGCUAACCUGCCCUUGGGACGGGGACACCCCCGGGAAACUGGGGUUAAUCCCCGAUAGGUGGAGAACUCUGGAAUGAAUCUCCACCCAAAAGGCACUUACGCUAUGCUCGUAGGUGCCGCCCAAGGAUGGGGCCGCGUCCGAUCAGGUUGUUGGUGAGGUAAUGGCUCACCAAGCCUUUUACCGGUGCGGGCCGUGAGAGCGGGAGCCCGGAGAUGGGCACUGAGACAAGGGCCCAGGCCCUACGGGGCGCAGCAGUCGCGAAAACUUUGCAAUACACGAAAGUGUGACAGGGCUAUCCCGAGUGCCAUCCGCUGAGGAAGGCUUUUACCCAGUUUAGAACGCUGGGGGAAUAAGGAGAGGGCAAGACUGGUGUCAGCCGCCGCGGUGAUACCAGCUCUCCGAGUGGUGUGGAUGUUUAUUUGGCCUAAAGCAUCCGUAGCUGGCUGGGCAAGUCCCCUGUUAAAUCCACCGAUUUAAUCGUUGGAAUGCGGGGGAUACUGCUCGGCUAGGGGACGGGAGAGGCAGACGGUAUUUUCGGGGUAGGGGUGAAAUCCUAUAAUCCCGGGAGGACCACCAGUGGCGAAGGCUGUCUGCUAGAACGUGCCCGACGGUGAGGGAUGAAAGCUGGGGGAGCGAACCGGAUUAGAUACCCGGGUAGUCCCAGCUGUAAACGAUGCAGGCUAGGUGUUUGGGCGGCCACGUGCCGCUCUAGUGCCGCAGGGAAGCCGUUAAGCCUGCCGCCUGGGGAGUACGGCCGCAAGGCUGAAACUUAAAGGAAUUGGCGGGGGAGCAC